GACGAACGCUGGCGGCGUGCUUAACACAUGCAAGUCGAACGGAAAGGCCCUGCUUGCAGGGUACUCGAGUGGCGAACGGGUGAGUAACACGUGGGUGAUCUGCCCUGCACUUCGGGAUAAGCCUGGGAAACUGGGUCUAAUACCGGAUAGGAGCCAUUUUUAGUGUGAUUGUUGGAAAGUUUUUUCGGUGUAGGAUGAGCUCGCGGCCUAUCAGCUUGUUGGUGGGGUAAUGGCCUACCAAGGCGGCGACGGGUAGCCGGCCCGAGAGGGUGGACGGCCACAUUGGGACUGGGAUACGGCCCAGACUCCUACGGGAGGCAGCAGUGGGGAAUAUUGAACAAGGGGCGCAAGCCUGAUGCAGCGACGCCGCGUGGGGGAUGACGGCCUUCGGGUUGUAAACUCCUUUCGCUAGGGACGAAGCUUUUUGUGACGGUACCUAGAGAAGAAGCACCGGCUAACUACGUG
rnacentral:rRNA from 1 species